AUUGAACGCUGGCGGCAGGCCUAACACAUGCAAGUCGAGCGGAUGAAGGGAGCUUGCUCCUGGAUUCGGCGGCGGACGGGUGAGUAAUGCCUAGGAAUCUGCCUGGUAGUGGGGGAUAACGUCCGGAAACGGGCGCUAAUACCGCAUACGUCCUGAGGGAGAAAGUGGGGGAUCUUCGGACCUCACGCUAUCAGAUGAGCCUAGGUCGGAUUAGCUAGUUGGUGGGGUAAAGGCCUACCAAGGCGACGAUCCGUAACUGGUCUGAGAGGAUGAUCAGUCACACUGGAACUGAGACACGGUCCAGACUCCUACGGGAGGCAGCAGUGGGGAAUAUUGGACAAUGGGCGAAAGCCUGAUCCAGCCAUGCCGCGUGUGUGAAGAAGGUCUUCGGAUUGUAAAGCACUUUAAGUUGGGAGGAAGGGCAGUAAGUUAAUAUCUUGCUGUUCUGACGUUACCAACAGAAUAAGCACCGGCUAACUUCGUG
rnacentral:rRNA from 1 species